AGCACUGCAAACGCAGAUGCUGCCACCUCUGCCCAAAGGAACUCAACCGCAAGUUGCGCAACCACUAUCCGUGGUAAGAAGCAGUAGCGGAGAUGGAUAUGCCACAUUACAAGGAGGGCAAUUCAGUUUAAAUACCAAUCUGCCCGAGUCAACUCGCCCCACCCUCUGUGUCGCCUUGGUGGAGGGAGAUUUAAUCAAAUCGGUUUCGCUGGGACAGACAGGAUCAAUUAGUUUCAAACACACUAAUCCUCCCAUGGAUUAAUCGUCUUGGGCCUAUUCCGAUGAGCCAAAUGGAUCAGUCAGGAAACGCUACCUCCAGUCAGUUUGAUCAGACCGAGUCGACUCGGAUGGGUCAAAUUAAUCAGGCAACUCCUCCUUCUACGGAGCAUAGUGAGACAGACACAACCGAUGUGACCUGGAAGACCGAUUCGACUCGGCCUAGUAAACCCCCCGACUCAGAGUCAUUGACUUUCUGGACGGCUUGUCCGUACUGUUACGUUCUCUACGAGUAUCCAAAGGUUUACGAGGAUUGCACACUGAGGUGUCAGGCUGAGAACUGCAGGAGAGCCUUCCAUGCGGUUGUGAUUCCGUCGCCGCCGCCUGUGGACGGAAAGGAAACGUAUUUGUGUACUAUGGGGUUUUUCCCAUUAGGAUUUUCGGGGAAUGGUGAGAACAUGGGCGGUAAUUUCCCCCGUUGGUCACCUGUUUCAACCAUGUUUGCUUGCCCUAACAACAAGAAUGCAGGUAAACAAACUAGUGCCCAGAAAUCUGCCCCAAGAGUGUUUUACGAUGAAGAUGAUAUAUAUAUAGAAAUUUCUUCUGCUGAGGAUACUAAUAAUGAUGAUGAUGAUGAUAAGUGGCAGAAGGAGAGGAGGAAGAAGAAAGCCAAAGGGGAAGGAUCUGUGGUGAGAAACGCUAAGACGCAAAGGAGUGAGAGAGUGAACGGCAAUGGCAGAGGUGUAUCGAUGGUGCCGGAAGCCGAGCCGAGCAAAAGAGGGGUGACAAAUAGUGGAUAUGUUGAGGGUCUUGAAGAGUUUUUGAGUAGCUUACAUAUGCUCGCAGUUGGUGGGGGACGAUAAAAUCAGGGCUGCAUAGUGAAGCUGUUUGAGAGGAUAGGGUAGAAAGUUGAACACAUAAAACCAUGAGGCAUUUUUGGUUUGAAGAUUGCCUCCAUCUUCAUACUUGGCAGUCAAAAGGAAUAUAGUUCCAUAUCUAUGCCUGAAUAUGUGCGGGAUACAUAUGUUAAAGAUGCCAGUUUACGUCUGUAAUUCAUGGAUCCAGAACAAUUCUUGAUUACAUCUUUCACCAGCUUGAAAGCUCUUUCUGACCGUCAAUUAUGGUAAUAUGAAGCCUUCUUCAUUCUGGGCUGACUCAACACCGACCGUCGCUCGAAGAUUGAGUACUGUAUUAAGUGGCGUAGGGAUUUCAGUCUGAAAGAGUUUAUAUUACUGUUACUAGUUUUGUUUAUGUAGUUGUUCCAUAAAUAAGACCUAAUUGGCUCAACUGAAGUUCUCUUUGGCUUUAAAAAAAAAUCCAAAAAUUAAAUUUAUAUUUGAAAGAUUACAUUCGUAUCGGGAUUAUUAUAAAAUAAUCUGGGUUUAAUCAUCAAACUAUAUAGUGAAACAAAUCAAGAAUCAAAGCAAAUAAAGACGAGGCAAAACAAGGAACGAGCAAAGCCGUGAAAGAGGGGCAGCAGCGGCUGGAAGAAGAACAUUAGUUCCUCAGCAACGAUGUCCAUAGCCUGGAGAAGGUACCAACAGAAACCUGCAACUAAGUAGUCCAAAUAAAAGUACUCCAAAUCAGCUAUCACCUCCCUCAUGCCUGUUCACGGCAACAACACAAUCAACCCAACGUAAUAAAACCAUAUAAAUAUUUAGGGAAAAACACUGAUAAUUGGA